rnacentral:lncRNA from 1 species
UUUUCCUCCCUCUUCUCCAAUUGAUCCCCUCUGGUUGGUGUCUCUCUUUCUUUCUCUUCCUUCCUCCUUCUCUCCUCUUCCUUUUCUUUUUCACCCAUUUCUCCUCCUCUCCUUCCUCCUCUCUCCCUUCUCCUUUCUUCUCCUCUCCUUUCUCCACCCAUUCUCCUUCUUCUUUUUUCCUCUCUUCCUUUCUCUACCCAUUCUUCUCCUCUCUUUUCUCCUCUCCUUCCUUUCCAUUCACUUUUUCUUAUCAUUCUUCUCCUUCAAGCUAUCCAUAAACCAUUCCCUUACACGACGGCCUCCUCCACCUUCAUUCCUUCUUGCCUUCUCCAUCUUUUUUCUCCUCAUUCUCUUCUCCUUCCCUUCCUCCUUUUCCAUCCUAUUUAUUGUCGGUGGCCCCUCUCUCCUCCUCUCUUUUUUUCUCAUUCUCUUUCUUUUUAUCCUUUUUCUCCUAUAAAUCAAUCUAUGAGCUCUGUUCCUUUAGAUGGCUCUCUCUACAUUCACCCCUUCUC